rnacentral:lncRNA from 1 species
CAGCGCUGCGACCUUCGCUGCGCAUGCGCCACAGUGUCGCGAGAGUACUGGCCGCCUCCGCUCCAUUAGUGCUCCUAGGGAGGGCGGAGCUGCGCGGUGGCGCUGUGAGCGGAGAGGUGCGGCGAGCCUGGCAGACCGGACUCUGCGAUCCUCCAGGACCGACGCCAGGUGCCCCGGGAGGGUGCGGGCUGCGGCCCUGGCUCCUUCCUCCCGCGCCCUCCCUGGCUCAGCCAGGACCUCUCCUCCACCGCCCAGCCUUCAGCCCCGGCCCUUCCUCCAGCUGCCCCGCGGUGUCCUUGUCACUGAGGGCGCAGGGCUGCUCAGCUCAGACCGCGCUGCGGAAAAUUCAGGGAGUCAAAUCUCAGUGGACAUUUCUUCAAAAUCUCCAGGAUAUUCCAUCACAGCGUCUAUUUUUAAAGCAUUUUCCAAUGGAUGAGAACUACUUGUUUAUUUUUAUUACUGCAAAUUCUGAUAAGAUAUAAAGCAAAACCGUGGAAAUAUAACAGAGAGUUGGAAAAUAAGUGGAAAUAUCAAAGACUGAGGUCAAAUCUGUCUGAAGCUGGUUUUUUCCUGCACGUCAGCCAGGUGUCACUGGGACUGGAGAGUGGACUUUUUACUGGAGCUGUGUUAGGCACUUUCCUUCCCACAGGAAUGGCCUGACAAAUACAGUUCUCUGGAGCACUGGACCUGAGGGCAGGGGCCUUUCCAGACCAGCCUUUCUUCUUGAAUCCUUCUCUCCUGUCAGUCGGGAUCCAGGACACUGUGCCACCCACCCCUGACCACAGAGGCCUCUCCCUGAGCAACCCGCUACCAAUGGCCCUGAUGGCACUGUGGAAUGGUCCGGAGGCCGGGCAAAGCCCAUCCAGGUACGAGCAACACAGGCAGAGCCAUCUACCACUCUUGCAGAUAGCUAAGUUCGUUAGAAAUUGUUACGAGGCAG